GAUGAAGAACGUAGCGAAAUGCGAUAACUAAUGUGAAUUGCAGAAUCCCGUGAACCAUCGAGUCUUUGAACGCAAGUUGCGCCCGAAGCCACUAGGCCGAGGGCACGCCUGCCUGGGCGUCACACGCCGUUGCCCCCCCAUCUACUCCUUCGGGAUUGCGGGGGGGCGGAUGAUGGCCUCCCGUGCGCCUAGCCGCGCGGUUGGCAUAAAUACCAAGUCCUCGGCGACGCACGCCACGACAAUCGGUGGUUGCGAAACCUCGGUUGCCCGUCGUGUGCGUUCGUCGCGCAUCGAGGGCUCGAAAAAAUGCUCGGCUCCGGCUGGGCUUUCAACGCGACCCCAGGUCAGGCGGGGUUACCCGCUGAAUUUAAGCAUAUCAAUAAGCGGAGGA
rnacentral:misc_RNA from 1 species